rnacentral:rRNA from 1 species
AGGACGAACGCUGGCGGCGUGCUUAACACAUGCAAGUCGAGCGGAAAGGCCCUUCGGGGUACUCGAGCGGCGAACGGGUGAGUAACACGUGAGCAAUCUGCCCUUAGCUUCGGGAUAGCCCCGGGAAACCGGGAUUAAUACCGAAUAUGACUUCGGCCGACAUCGGCUGCGGUGGAAAGUUUUUCGGCUAGGGAUGAGCUCGCGGCCUAUCAGCUAGUUGGUGGGGUAAUGGCCUACCAAGGCGACGACGGGUAGCCGGCCUGAGAGGGCGACCGGCCACACUGGGACUGAGACACGGCCCAGACUCCUACGGGAGGCAGCAGUGGGAAUAUUGCGCAAUGGGCGAAAGCCUGACGCAGCGACGCCGCGUGGGGAUGAAUGCCUUCGGGUUGUAAACCCCUUUCAGCAGGGACGAAGCGAAAGUGACGGUACCUGCAGAAGAAGCGCCGGCUAACUACGUGCCAGCAGCCGC